rnacentral:rRNA from 1 species
UGGGGAAUUUUCCGCAGUGGGCGAAAGCCUGACGGAGCAAUGCCGCGUGGAGGUGGAAGGCCUACGGGUCGUCAACUUCUUUUCUCGGAGAAGAAACAAUGACGGUAUCUGAGGAAUAAGCAUCGGCUAACUCUGUGCCCG